UAGCAAUAGCAGGGAAGAGGAAUGAGAUCAAGAUCAGUAUGACCAGCUUUGCUUUGUCCUUGUUAAUCUGCUUUCUUCUUUGAUCAAUAUAUAUGUACAUAGUUAUCAAGUCUUAAAAUUUCUUGUUCAUUAACUCUCUACUCUACUCCAUUUUCUCAGUCUUGCAGUUUAUGUUCAACAGUAAUUCAGUGAACAACUUUCAUUUUUCCGGUAUGGUUUUUGUAAUUUUAAUACUUUCUCUAUUUCCCC
rnacentral:lncRNA from 1 species